AGCGAACGCUGGCGGCAGGCCUAACACAUGCAAGUCGAACGAAGUCUUCGGACUUAGUGGCGGACGGGUGAGUAACACGUGGGAACGUGCCUUUAGGUUCGGAAUAACUCAGGGAAACUUGUGCUAAUACCGAAUGUGCCCUUCGGGGGAAAGAUUUAUCGCCUUUAGAGCGGCCCGCGUCUGAUUAGCUAGUUGGUGAGGUAAGGGCUCACCAAGGCGACGAUCAGUAGCUGGUCUGAGAGGAUGAUCAGCCACAUUGGGACUGAGGCACGGCCCAAACUCCUACGGGAGGCAGCAGUGGGGAAUCUUGCGCAAUGGGCGAAAGCCUGACGCAGCCAUGCCGCGUGAAUGAUGAAGGUCUUAGGAUUGUAAAAUCCUUUCACCGGUGAAGAUAAUGACUGUAGCCGGAGAAGAAGCCCCGGCUAACUUCGUGCCAGCAGCCGCAGUAACAC
rnacentral:rRNA from 1 species